rnacentral:lncRNA from 1 species
GAUUAUUAAGUUUGUUGGUUGCAUUGGCAGUCGGAUUUUUGGGGAUUGCGCUUAUUGUGAAUGUGAAGAUAAAUCCCAUAUGUUUUGUUUGUCCAUACAGUAUCCUAUUCACAUAUGUCUCUUCACUCAUGUCUAUUUCUCAUGUUUACUUUUUGUACUGCAUUAGGCAUUAUUUAAAAAAAAAAAAAAAAAAAAGGGAGAGAGAGACGGGAUUUUUGUUUAUGUGCCGGUUAAAUUUGAUUUUUUUUGUUGCAACCGGAUCGAUUGGGCUUACUCCUCACAUUUCCACGUUUCUGAUGAAGUUUGGCAAAGUCUGCAGUCUUUGCUAUUUAAUGUUGGAUUUGAUAUCACUAUCCUUUGAUUUUCGCAUUGCAAUUAUCGUGUGGCAUUGAGUUUUUGAGUUUGUGAUUUUGUUUGCAAGUUGUGUAUGGUGACUCUUCUCAC